GUUGUCCGGAUUUAUUGGGCGUAAAGAGCGUGUAGGCGGCCAGGUAGGUCUGCUGUGAAAACUCGAGGCUCAACCUCGAGACGUCGGCGGAAACCAUCUGGCUAGAGUCCGGAAGAGGAGAGUGGAAUUCCUGGUGUAGCGGUGAAAUGCGCAGAUAUCAGGAAGAACACCCGUGGCGAAGGCGGCUCUCUGGGACGGUACUGACGCUGAGACGCGAAAGCGUGGGGAGCGAACAGG
rnacentral:rRNA from 1 species